rnacentral:rRNA from 1 species
UACGGAGGGUGCAAGCGUUAUCCGGAUUCACUGGGUUUAAAGGGUGCGUAGGCGGGCAGGUAAGUCAGUGGUGAAAUCCCCGAGCUCAACUUGUGAAUUGCCGUUGAUACUAUCUGUCUUGAAUAUCGUGGAGGUGAGCGGAAUAUGUCAUGUAGCGGUGAAAUGCUUAGAUAUGACAUAGAACACCCAUUGCGAAGGCAGCUCACUACACGAUAAUUGACGCUGAGGCGCGAAAGCGUGGGGAUCAAACAGG